UACGGAGGGAGCUAGCGUUAUUCGGAAUUACUGGGCGUAAAGCGCACGUAGGCGGCUUUGUAAGUCAGAGGUGAAAGCCUGGAGCUCAACUCCAGAACUGCCUUUGAGACUGCAUCGCUUGAAUCCAGGAGAGGUGAGUGGAAUUCCGAGUGUAGAGGUGAAAUUCGUAGAUAUUCGGAAGAACACCAGUGGCGAAGGCGGCUCACUGGCCCGGUACUGACGCUGAGGUGCGAAAGCGUGGGGAGCAAACAGG
rnacentral:rRNA from 1 species